rnacentral:rRNA from 1 species
AUGAGCCGCCGCCGUUGCUCGCCAGCGACGGCACCCCCGCUGGAAGACGAGGACCUUCUCCAGGAGAUCCUCCUGCGCCUUCCUCCUCAGCCAUCCUCCCUCCCUCGCGCGUCCACCGUAUGCAAGCGCUGGCUCAACAUUCUCUCUGACCCCCAAUUCGUCCAACGCUUCCGCAAACACCAUGGGAAACCCCCACUCAUCGGCUUCUUCAGCCAAAGAUAUGGCGUAUUCUGUGACUUCAAACCCGUCCUGGAACUGCCUGACCGCAUACAUGCCCAUCGUUUCUCCAUGCCCAAGAGCCGCAGCUCAAUGGAGCAGUGGCGCUUCAUGGGCUGCCGCAACGGGCUCACUGCCUUGAUCAAUGAGUGUCGGCGCGAGGCCGUCGUGUGGGAUCCUCUCACCGGCCGGCAACAUCACAUGCCUUUUCAACCGGGACUCCAAAAUGCCCUAACAGGUAGCUUCUGUGUAUGGCAUGCCUCGGUGCUGUGCGCUGAUGCCGAACAUGGGCACGGGCAUGGCGAUUGCAUCUUGGGCCCGUUUAAAUUGGUCUUGAUCUGCAACGGAUACAAGCAGACAUUUGGUUCUAUCUAUGACUCGUCGUCUGGUUCUUGGGGAAAUAUUUUCUCACGGCGAGCAAAUGAAAUUUAUGCCAGAAGGGGCAACAUCCUUGUUGGAAAUGUGCUUUGUUGGUUGAUUUGUGGAGGUGAUGUCCUUGUGUUUGACAUCAAAACGCAGAGUCUUGGUGUGAUCGAGAAGCCAGCAGACAACCAUGUUACCAUUGACUUGUUUUUUCAGCUCUUGCGCAUGGAGAAAGGUGGACUAGGCCUUGCUGUUUUGUCUGAACAGAUCAUCCAAUUAUGGGAGAGGAAACCUAACUGUGACGGUGUUGUCGGAUGGGUGUUGCUGCAGAAAGCCAUUCCUUUGAAGGGGUUGCUUCCAAGCAGAAAGCCUUUGGUACUUAUCGUGGGGUAUGAUGAGGACACAAAUGCGACUGUUCUGUCUACGGGGAUUGGCAACUUCAUGCUCCAACUUGACUCAGUGCAGAUCAAACAUAUCAUUAAAAGAAAUAACAUGUGCAUCGACAUGUUUUAUCCCUACCAUAAUUUCUACACUGCAGGUAAUACCUCCCUAUCUACAUUGCACAACCAAAAUAGUCCAUUAUUUUGUUUUGCUGGGAUUCAAUACUGUUAA